AUACCAUGAUGAGGGAAUGUGCGCAACAACUCCUUAAACCAGUCCUAUGCCUCAUUUAAAGAUGGUUCAUCAAGUUGCUGAAAUGAAGUAAUCUUAUUGCAGAGCUU